ensembl:ncRNA lncRNA:CR44344 long non-coding RNA:CR44344
CUAUUUUUUCCUUUUAACAAAAUUGGAGAGCUAAUAUUAUUUUUCAAAUUUUAAUUUGUUUACCAUAAGUUCUAAAACGAUUUUGCUAAGUGCAGUAAAGGGUUAAGAGGUGGUGGAUGGUGUUGCAUAUGCCAUUGGAUAACCAAGACUGGUGUAAAUGAGUGCAGCACAACAGGGGUAACUCGAGGAAUGCUCGAUUGGAUUUCGAAGGCAGCAUUAGCAAAACUUGCCGAAUUAUUCAAGGAUGUGCGUACUUCCCGAAAACAGAAGCAUUACGACGCUAACAAGUGAGUGCUGCACAUCAGCUGUCAGUGGGUAAAACGGUUAGCCGCAUCGCUACUGCCCCCCACUGCCUCCAUCCGCUGGAGAAGAUGCAACUGUUUGGAUGCCGGACUAUUAGGAAUGCCAACACAACGGACCCGGAUGAGCGGACGUGGACCAGUUGCGUACGUGUUGAACAUCGGUUACCAUACCUGCUGCAGGACACACUAAGCCAAGCAGCAUUACCCAGCUCCGAUCCCAGCCCCAAUGUCCAUAUAACCAUAAAGCCAUCCCAUUCCAAAGCCCAUAUCCGCCACCAACACCACCACCACCCCCCGCGUGUGUGCAUUCAUAAAUAAGGUAUCCAACGAGGCAGACUCAGCAGGGAGCACAACUCCAGGCUGACCUGUCCAUCCAGGUUAACGGGAAGACGCACAUAGCAACACACAGUUACACUAUUUUUCAUUUUGCCUAUUACGAGCGAGGGCAUCAGGACACCAGGGUCAGCUGCUGGAUGGGAAAUAGAAGAGGUGGCUUGGCUUGGGAAUGGCAUGGGAAUGGCAAUGAGGACGACGUGGCCGUCGGCUCUCGCAUGUCCUGACCUCUUUGGCCUGCCCUGUUGGUUUUGUCCUGGCCCCGGGAGCCAUGCUUCAUUUACUUUGUUGUCGGUGGCCAUUAGUUUUGACGCACUUUGGACCAGGUUACCCCCACCUGCGUUACGAUGGCCAUUGGCCAUCCCCACUGGGAUAGUGAUGUGGGAAUGGCAAUCCCUGCCCGCCCAAAGGCACAAUCCCGGUCGGCAUUGUGGGGUUAAGUGGGCUGUGUGUGCGGAAUGAGCAUAAUGGAUUGACAGGCUUCGUUAGCAGGAGCUGCAAUCGAUUCCGGAUGCACAUCGUAAUCGAUAGAAAGUAAACAUAUUGCCUGGAGAAAGUUCGCAUAACUUUUUCAAUGCGGAAAAGGGUCAAAUUGGCAGAUGCUCUAGCUCGCAGUUGGAAUAAUUAUAAUCGCAGUUAGCUUUUCUUGGGCAAACACAGACGACACUUCUUCAGCUUCAGCUGCUUUUUAUCUGCUUUCCGAUUUUCCGAGCGUUUAGGCAACAAUAACAGCAACAGCAGCAAGAGCAAGUUGGGUAAACAAAAAGUCGGACUUGGUGAGUCCAGGACAUCACAGAGAUGACGCAUAAUGAUUACAAAACUAUCUGGAUGUGGAGAUGAAAUAUUUCAAAAUUAUAUUCGAGAAAUGUCUUUAUUUUAUAAAUGUUAAAUGUUAUGUCAGUUAACAAACAAAUAUAGGACAGUUAUCUACUG